rnacentral:rRNA from 1 species
UUGGAGGGCAAGUCUGGUGCCAGCAGCCGCGGUAAUUCCAGCUCCAAUAGCGUAUAUUAAAGUUGCUGCAGUUAAAAAGCUCGUAGUUGAAUUUCGGGACCAUCAUGUCGGUCGUGCCUCGGUACGUACUGGUAUUGUUGGUUUCUCCCUUCUGACGAACCAUGAUGUCAUUUAUUUGGUGUUGUGGGGAAUCAGGACUGUUACUUUGAAAAAAUUAGAGUGUUUAAAGCAGGCUCACGCUUGAAUACAUUAGCAUGGAAUAAUGAAAUAGGACGUUUGAUUCUAUUUUGUUGGUUUCUAGGAUCGACGUAAUGAUUAAUAGGGAUAGUUGGGGGCAUUAGUAUUCAAUUGUCAGAGGUGAAAUUCUUGGAUUUAUUGAAGACUAACUACUGCGAAAGCAUUUGCCAAGGAUGUUUUCAUUAAUCAAGAACGAAAGUUAGGGGAUCGAAGACGAUCAGAUACCGUCGUAGUCUUAACCAUAAACUAUGCCGACUAGGGAUCGGAUGAUGUUAUUUUUAAUGACACAUUCGGCGCCUUACGGGAAAC